GGGAGGCAGCAGUGAGGAAUCUUGCACAAUGGGGGCAACCCUGAUGCAGCGACGCCGCGUGAGCGAUGAAGCCCUUCGGGGUGUAAAGCUCUUUCGGCCGGAACGAUAAUGACGGUACCGGCAGAAGAAGCUGCGGCUAACUACGUGCCAGCAGCCGCGGUAAUACGUAGGCAGCGAGCGUUGUUCGGAGUUACUGGGCGUAAAGAGUGCGUAGGCGGUGCUCUAAGUUUGGUGUGAAAUCUCCCGGCUCAACUGGGAGGGUGCGCCGAAAACUGGAGUGCUCGAGUAUGGGAGAGGUAAGCGGAAUUCCUGGUGUAGCGGUGAAAUGCGUAGAUAUCAGGAGGAACACCUGCGGUGUAGACGGCUUACUGGACCAUGACUGACGCUGAGGCACGAAAGCGUGGGGAGCAAACAGGAUUAGAUACCCCGGUAGC
rnacentral:rRNA from 1 species